GAAGUCUGACGGAGCACGCCGCGUGAGUGAUGAAGGUUUUCGGAUCGUAAAGCUCUGUUGUUAGGGAAGAACAAGUACCGUUCGAAUAGGGCGGUACCUUGACGGUACCUAACCAGAAAGCCACGGCUAACUACGUGCCAGCAGCCGCGGUAAUACGUAGGUGGCAAGCGUUGUCCGGAAUUAUUGGGCGUAAAGGGCUCGCAGGCGGUUUCUUAAGUCUGAUGUGAAAGCCCCCGGCUCAACCGGGGAGGGUCAUUGGAAACUGGGGAACUUGAGUGCAGAAGAGGAGAGUGGAAUUCCACGUGUAGCGGUGAAAUGCGUAGAGAUGUGGAGGAACACCAGUGGCGAAGGCGACUCUCUGGUCUGUAACUGACGCUGAGGAGCGAAAGCGUGGGGAGCGAACAGGAUUAGAUACCCUGGUAGUCCACGCCGUAAACGAUGAGUGCUAAGUGUUAGGGGGUUUCCGCCCCUUAGUGCUGCAGCUAACGCAUUAAGCACUCCGCCUGGGGAGUACGGUCGCAAGACUGAAACUCAAAGGAAUUGACGGGGGCCCGCACANGCGGUGGAGCAUGUGGUUUAAUUCGAAGCACCNCGAAGAACCUUACCAGGUCUUGACAUCCUCUGACAAUCCUAGA
rnacentral:rRNA from 1 species